rnacentral:rRNA from 1 species
GUGGGGAAUAUUGGGCAAUGGGCGAAAGCCUGACCCAGCAACGCCGCGUGAAGGAAGAAGGUCUUCGGAUCGUAAACUUCUAUCCUUGGUGAAGAUAAUGACGGUAGCCGAGAAGGAAGCCCCGGCUCACUACGUGCCAGCAGCCGCGGUAAUACGUAGGGGGCAAGCGUUGUCCGGAAUGAUUGGGCGUAAAGGGCGCGUAGGCGGCCUGGUAAGUCUGGAGUGAAAGUCCUGCUUUUAAGGUGGGAAUUGCUUUGGAUACUGUCGGGCUUGAGUGCAGGAGAGGUAAGCGGAAUUCCCGGUGUAGCGGUGAAAUGCGUAGAGAUCGGGAGGAACACCAGUGGCGAAGGCGGCUUACUGGACUGUAACUGACGCUGAGGCGCGAAAGUGUGGGGAGCAAACAGGAUUAGAAACCCCUGUAGUCC